rnacentral:rRNA from 1 species
UGGCUCAAGAUGAACACCGGCUGUGUGCCUAAUACAUGCAAGUCAUACCCACUGGUCCAACUGAUUGAUGGUGCUUGCACCUAAUUGACUUUGGAUCACCACUGAGUGGUGGAGAGGUGAGUAACGCCUACGUAACCUGUCCCUGAGCGGGGGAUAACAUUUGGAAACAGAUGCUAAUACCAUAUAGCGACAAAAGCCACAUGGCUUUUGUUUGAAAGAUGCGCUUUGGCUAUCACUCAUGGGAUGGACAUGCGGUGCAUUAUCUACUUGGUAAGGUAACGGCUUACCAGCGGCUAUGAUGCAUACUCGACCUUGAGAGACUGAUCGGCCACAAUGGACAUGAGACACGGUCCAUACUCCUACGUGAGGCAGCAGUAGGCAAUCUUCCACAAUGCGCGCAAGCGUGAUGCAGCAACACCGCGUGAGUGAAGAAGGGUUUAGUCUUGUAAAACUUUGUUGUUGGUGAAGAACGAGGAUGUGAGUACCUGUUCAUGCCCUGACGGUAUCCAACCAGAAAGUCCCGGCUAACUACGUGCCAGCAGCCGCGGUAAUACGUAGGUGGCAAGCGUUAUCCGGAUUUAUUGGGUGUAAAGCGAGCGCAGGCGGUUGCUUAGGUCUGAUGUGAAAGCCUUCGGCUUAACCUAAGAAGUGCAUUGGAAACCGGGCGACUUGAGUGCAGAAGAGGACAGUGGAACUCCAUGUGUAGCGGUGGAAUGCGUAGAUAUAUGGAAGAACACCAGUGGCGAAGGCGGCUGUCUGGUCUGCAACUGACGCUGAGGCUCGAAAGCAUGGGUAGCGAACAGGAUUAGAUACCCUGGUAGUCCAUGCCGUAAACGAUG